CCCAUGCCCCCCACCCCUUUAGCUUUGUCAGCUUUCAAAACACCCCGCCCCCGCGUGCUAUCAUUUAUUAAUGGAAACGGAGGAGCGCUGGGGGCCGUUAAUAUCCCUUAAUGUUAAAAGGCGGCGGAAGGAGACGAGGUUUCCUCCCCGUGAGCUCCAACGUGCGGAAGACGGAGCUCCGCCUGGCGUAAGGAGGCUGUUUGUGUGAUGAGAGUGGCAAUAGAGCUGCAUCUCUUUAAAGCUGACGCUGUCUUAAUUAAUGACACCAGCCCAGAAGGAAGGAAGGACAGACAGACACCGAGGAUGCUUCGCAAAGGACAUCGCUGUCGCGUCAUUUCACCGCCACCAGGUUAUCCGGGAUUUAUUUCUGCUAUGCUGUCAAUUUUUUUUUCUCUCCCCCACCCCCCUU